GACGAACGCUGGCGGCAGGCCUAACACAUGCAAGUCGAAGGAGAAGCCGGGCUUCGGCCCGGUGGAAACUGGCGCACGGGUGAGUAACGCGUGGGUAUCUACCUCGGGGUGGGGAAUAACCGCUGGAAACGGCGGCUAAUACCGCAUACGCCUUCAGAGGGAAAGCUCCGGCGCCCUGAGAGGAGCCCGCGUUGGAUUAGCUUGUUGGUGGGGUAAUGGCCUACCAAGGCUACGAUCUAUAGCUGGUCUGAGAGGAUGAUCAGCCACACUGGGACUGAGACACGGCCCAGACUCUUACGGGAGGCAGCAGUGGGGAAUAUUGGACAAUGGGCGCAAGCCUGAUCCAGCCAUGCCGCGUGAGUGAAGAAGGCCUUAGGGUUGUAAAGCUCUUUCACCUGCGAAGAUGAUGACGGUAGCAGGAGAAGAAGCCCCGGCUAACUCCGUG
rnacentral:rRNA from 1 species